ensembl:snRNA U6 U6 spliceosomal RNA
GUGCUCACUUUGGCAGCACAUAUAUUAAAAUUGGGACUUACAGAGAUCAGCAUGGCCCCUGCGCGAGGAUGACAUGCAAAUUCAUGAAGUGUUCCAUAAUUUU